GACAGAGGGUGCUAGCGUUGUUCGGAAUUACUGGGCGUAAAGGGCGCGUAGGCGGUCCGCUAAGUUCGGUGUGAAAUCCCCUGGCUCAACUGGGGAACUGCGCCGGAAACUGACGGACUCGAGUACCGGAGAGGAGGGUGGAAUUCCUGGUGUAGCGGUGGAAUGCGCAGAUAUCAGGAGGAACACCGAUGGCGAAGGCAGGUCACUGGGCCGCAACUGACGCUGAGGGGCGAAAGCAUGGGGAGCGAACAGG
rnacentral:rRNA from 1 species